GCGAUACAGGGUGACAGCCCCGUACACAAAAAUGCACAUGCUGUGAGCUCGAUGAGUAGGGCGGGACACGUGGUAUCCUGUCUGAAUAUGGGGGGACCAUCCUCCAAGGCUAAAUACUCCUGACUGACCGAUAGUGAACCAGUACCGUGAGGGAAAGGCGAAAAGAACCCCGGCGAGGGGAGUGAAAAAGAACCUGAAACCGUGUACGUACAAGCAGUGGGAGCACAGAGCAAUCUGUGUGACUGCGUACCUUUUGUAUAAUGGGUCAGCGACUUAUAUUCUGUAGCAAGGUUAACCGAAUAGGGGAGCCGAAGGGAAACCGAGUCUUAACUGGGCGUUAAGUUGCAGGGUAUAGACCCGAAACCCGGUGAUCUAGCCAUGGGCAGGUUGAAGGUUGGGUAACACUAACUGGAGGACCGAACCGACUAAUGUUGAAAAAUUAGCGGAUGACUUGUGGCUGGGGGUGAAAGGCCAAUCAAACCGGGAGAUAGCUGGUUCUCCCCGAAAGCUAUUUAGGUAGCGCCUCGUGAAUUCAUCUCCGGGGGUAGAGCACUGUUUCGGCAAGGGGGUCAUCCCGACUUACCAACCCGAUGCAAACUGCGAAUACCGGAGAAUGUUAUCACGGGAGACACACGGCGGGUGCUAACGUCCGUCGUGAAGAGGGAAACAACCCAGACCGCCAGCUAAGGUCCCAAAGUCAUGGUUAAGUGGGAAACGAUGUGGGAAGGCCCAGACAGCCAGGAUGUUGGCUUAGAAGCAGCCAUCAUUUAAAGAAAGCGUAAUAGCUCACUGGUCGAGUCGGCCUGCGCGGAAGAUGUAACGGGGCUAAACCAUGCACCGAAGCUGCGGCAGCGACACUAUGUGUUGUUGGGUAGGGGAGCGUUCUGUAAGCCUGUGAAGGUGUACUGUGAGGUAUGCUGGAGGUAUCAGAAGUGCGAAUGCUGACAUAAGUAACGAUAAAGCGGGUGAAAAGCCCGCUCGCCGGAAGACCAAGGGUUCCUGUCCAACGUUAAUCGGGGCAGGGUGAGUCGACCCCUAAGGCGAGGCCGAAAGGCGUAGUCGAUGGGAAACAGGUUAAUAUUCCUGUACUUGGUGUUACUGCGAAGGGGGGACGGAGAAGGCUAUGUUGGCCGGGCGACGGUUGUCCCGGUUUAAGCGUGUAGGCUGGUUUUCCAGGCAAAUCCGGAAAAUCAAGGCUGAGGCGUGAUGACGAGGCACUACGGUGCUGAAGCAACAAAUGCCCUGCUUCCAGGAAAAGCCUCUAAGCAUCAGGUAACAUCAAAUCGUACCCCAAACCGACACAGGUGGUCAGGUAGAGAAUACCAAGGCGCUUGAGAGAACUCGGGUGAAGGAACUAGGCAAAAUGGUGCCGUAACUUCGGGAGAAGGCACGCUGAUAUGUAGGUGAAGUCCCUCGCGGAUGGAGCUGAAAUCAGUCGAAGAUACCAGCUGGCUGCAACUGUUUAUUAAAAACACAGCACUGUGCAAACACGAAAGUGGACGUAUACGGUGUGACGCCUGCCCGGUGCCGGAAGGUUAAUUGAUGGGGUCAGCGCAAGCGAAGCUCUUGAUCGAAGCCCCGGUAAACGGCGGCCGUAACUAUAACGGUCCUAAGGUAGCGAAAUUCCUUGUCGGGUAAGUUCCGACCUGCACGAAUGGCGUAAUGAUGGCCAGGCUGUCUCCACCCGAGACUCAGUGAAAUUGAACUCGCUGUGAAGAUGCAGUGUACCCGCGGCAAGACGGAAAGACCCCGUGAACCUUUACUAUAGCUUGACACUGAACAUUGAGCCUUGAUGUGUAGGAUAGGUGGGAGGCUUUGAAGUGUGGACGCCAGUCUGCAUGGAGCCGACCUUGAAAUACCACCCUUUAAUGUUUGAUGUUCUAACGUUGACCCGUAAUCCGGGUUGCGGACAGUGUCUGGUGGGUAGUUUGACUGGGGCGGUCUCCUCCUAAAGAGUAACGGAGGAGCACGAAGGUUGGCUAAUCCUGGUCGGACAUCAGGAGGUUAGUGCAAUGGCAUAAGCCAGCUUGACUGCGAGCGUGACGGCGCGAGCAGGUGCGAAAGCAGGUCAUAGUGAUCCGGUGGUUCUGAAUGGAAGGGCCAUCGCUCAACGGAUAAAAGGUACUCCGGGGAUAACAGGCUGAUACCGCCCAAGAGUUCAUAUCGACGGCGGUGUUUGGCACCUCGAUGUCGGCUCAUCACAUCCUGGGGCUGAAGUAGGUCCCAAGGGUAUGGCUGUUCGCCAUUUAAAGUGGUACGCGAGCUGGGUUUAGAACGUCGUGAGACAGUUCGGUCCCUAUCUGCCGUGGGCGCUGGAGAACUGAGGGGGGCUGCUCCUAGUACGAGAGGACCGGAGUGGACGCAUCACUGGUGUUCGGGUUGUCAUGCCAAUGGCACUGCCCGGUAGCUAAAUGCGGAAGAGAUAAGUGCUGAAAGCAUCUAAGCACGAAACUUGCCCCGAGAUGAGUUCUCCCUGACCCUUUAAGGGUCCUGAAGGAACGUUGAAGACGACGACGUUGAUAGGCCGGGUGUGUAAGCGCAGCGAUGCGUUGAGCUAACCGGUACUAAUGAACCGUGAGGCUUAACCUU
rnacentral:rRNA from 1 species